GCAGUAGAUCAGGCCCAGGCAAGUGGAGGCGACGCCAGGAACGGCGACUCCAUCGCCAGAGUGGAGAGAGGCGGCGCGACGGCAGCAGAGGAGGCGGAAGCGUGACGCGGAUCGAACGCGUCCUCUGAUACCAUGUUAAAACGUAUUAGGGUUUGGAACAAUGCUCGAUACCCUUGGUGGGUACGGCUGUCAUAUAUUUAUAAGAGGGAACCGUACAAAUACAAGUUGUGUUACAACACGUAUAUCUAAUAUAUACUUAGUCUAACACCAUGCAUCUUUAGUUCUAUGUGCUAGGCAGUUGUUUUCUCCGAAUGGCUACAUGUACUUCUAUAGCUUGUUAAUUCCUUCUCAGCUUGUUUUAUUUACAUGUGUAUGGACAAACUAAUGUGUCUUUGUGUUGGUUGUUCCUUCCUUGCCGAUAUGGCAACUAUUUUAGAUGUUGGCCAGUUAAGGUUUGUUGCACAUAAUAGUGGUGAGCCGCCUCCACACCUUGGGUGGUUGUCCUCUCCUUUGUUAUGAGCUUGCUGUCUGUUGCGCUCGCGUCGUCGCCGUUCUUGCGCCGGUGCUGCUGCUAUGUAGGGCUGCUUUGGAUGGUUGCUCAGCGCUGGGGUUGCGAUGCUUGCGGAGUGCAUGGGGGAGGCGCACAUGGUUGAUGAUUAUGUUCUAGGUUGGCCAUUGAGAGGGACGCCCAAGCAAACUCCGUCAGGUUUCAGAUAACUACUUCUGGUUAGACAGGGGAAAUAAAAGGGUAACCAUAGAUAUAUGGUCUAGCAUCACGAGGUUCAGGUUCCUGCUGUUGAUCAACCAUUGCUUCGGCGGAGCCAAGAUGAGUGCUCUACACUUACGGCUCAUGCUAACUGAAUUGGUGAUGUUUGUUUCUUCACCUCGAUUGACGCCACAUGUUCCCUCCAGUGAGUCUUGACACCAUGUUUAUACAAUUAAAAUCGCCCUUUGGUUGCUUGAACACAUUUGAUUAAUUGCAAAUUUUGGUACACUAUUUUGAUAGGAGUGUUCUUUGCUUACGUUCACACUUACUAGGU